CAACAACUUGGAGGAAGUUCCUUCGUACAAAUAUCUUAAAAUUAAUAUUCAUCACAAGCUCAACUAGAAUUAUAACAUUGAAAAAAUGAUAAAUCGAGGGUGGAAAAUUAUUAUGGGCUUGAA
rnacentral:pre_miRNA from 1 species